GACAGAGGUUCCAAGCGUUAGGCGGAAUCACUGGGCUUAAAGCGUGUGUAGGCGGAAUGGUAAGUACCUUGUGAAAUCCCACGGCUCAACCGUGGAACUGCUUGGUAUACUGCUUUUCUUGAGCCACUUAGGGGCAACCGGAACAAACGGUGGAGCGGUGAAAUGCGUAGAUAUCGUUUGGAACGCCAAUGGUGAAAACAGGUUGCUGGGAGUGUGCUGACGCUGAGACACGAAAGCCAGGGGAGCAAACGGG
rnacentral:rRNA from 1 species